rnacentral:sRNA from 1 species
AAUUUUGGCCAAAAAAUACAAAAAUUAAUAGUCACCCGUAAUUCAGAAUGCGGUGCCUUUUAUCCUCAGUGAUUGUGCAGACUAUGGUAUAUCGUGGAGCGAAUUACAUGAGUCAGAAUGCGGAAAGCAACCUUAAUAGCAACAAAAUUUAAAAUCCAUCGCUUGUGGGGGCGGCCAAAUUUGGCAAUGAACCUUUUUGCUUUAAUCCAACGUUCAUGUACAGCGUAAUCUUUUAAAGCCGCAUGGGAUGUAAAUGAACUUUAUUUGUAUAUGCUUUUUGCUUUGAUUUGGCUUUUUCGUAAUUUGUUUUGCCUGCGCAAUGGCAAAGUUUGUAAUUUAUGUAAAUUAAAUUUAAAACGCA